AUUGAACGCUGGCGGAAGGCCUAACACAUGCAAGUCGAGCGAGCGGCGGACGGGGGAGUAAUGUCUGGGAACCUGCCUGAUGGAGGGGGAUAACUACUGGCAACGGUAGGUAAUACCGCAUACCCUCAGAGUUGCCCAGAUGGGAUUAGCUAGUAGGUGGGGUAACGGCUCACCUAGGGGACGAUCCCUCGCUGGUCUGAGAGGAUGACCAGCCACCCUGGAACUGAGACACGGUCCAGACUCCUACGUGAGGCAGCAGUGGGGAAUAUUGCACAAUGGGCGCAAGCCUGAUGCAGCCAGGCCGCGUGUAUGAAGAAGGCCUUCGGGUUUUAAAGUCCUUUCAGCGGGGAGGCGUUACCCGCAGAAGAAGCACCGGCUAACUCCGUGCCAGCAGCCGCGGUAAUUC
rnacentral:rRNA from 1 species